rnacentral:rRNA from 1 species
CCUACGGGAGGCAGCAGUGGGGGAUAUUGCACAAUGGGGGGAACCCUGAUGCAGCGACGCCGCGUGGGUGAAGGAGGGUUUCGGCGUGUAAAGCCCUUUCGGCCGGGAAGAAGAUGACGGUACCUGACCAAGAAGCCCCGGCUAACUACGUGCCAGCAGCCGCGGUAAUAAGUAGGGGGGAAGCGUUAUCCGGAAGUACUGGGUGUUAAGGGGGCGUAGACGGCGGUGCAAGCUAGGAGUGAAAGUCUGGGGCCCAACCCCGGGACUGCACUUGAAACUGCAUGGCUGGAGUACAGGAGGGGCAGGCGGAAUUCCUAGUGUAGCGGUGAAAUGCGUAGAUAUUAGGAGGAACACCGGUGGCGAAGGCGGCCUGCUGGACUGUGACUGACGUUGAGGCCCGAAGGCGUGGGGAGCAAACAGGAUUAGAUACCCCAGUAGUC